UUGAACGCUGGCGGCAUGCCUUACACAUGCCAGUCGAACGGCAGCAUGAUCUAGCUUGCUAGAUUGAUGGCGAGUGGCGAACGGGUGAGUAAUACAUCGGAACGUGCCCUGUAGUGGGGGAUAACUAGUCGAAAGAUUAGCUAAUACCGCAUACGACCUGAGGGUGAAAGUGGGGGACCGCAAGGCCUCAUGCUAUAGGAGCGGCCGAUGUCUGAUUAGCUAGUUGGUGAGGUAAAGGCUCACCAAGGCGACGAUCAGUAGCUGGUCUGAGAGGACGAUCAGCCACACUGGGACUGAGACACGGCCCAGACUCCUACGGGAGGCAGCAGUGGGGAAUUUUGGACAAUGGGCGAAAGCCUGAUCCAGCAAUGCCGCGUGUGUGAAGAAGGCCUUCGGGUUGUAAAGCACUUUUGUCCGGAAAGAAAUGGCUCUGGUUAAUACCUGGGGUCGAUGACGGUACCGGAAGAAUAAGAACCGGCUAACUACGUG
rnacentral:rRNA from 1 species